rnacentral:rRNA from 1 species
AGAACGAACGCUGGCGGCAGGCCUCAAACAUGCAAGUCUAGGGGGUGUAGCAAUACAUCACCGGCGGACGGGUGCGUAACACGUGGGAAUAUACCUUUUGGUUCGGAACAACGCAGGGAAACUUGCGCUAAUACCGAAUGUGCCCUUACGGGGAAAGAUUUAUCGCCAAAGGAUUAGCCCGCGUAGGAUUAGCUAGUUGGUGAGGUAAUGGCUCACCAAGGCUCCGAUCCUUAGCUGUUCUGAGAGGAAGAUCAGCCACACUGGGACUGAGACACGGCCCAGACUCCUACGGGAGGCAGCAGUUGGGAAUCUUGGACAAUGGGGGAAACCCUGAUCCAGCCAUGCCGCGUGAGUGAUGAAGGCCUUCGGGUUGUAAAACUCUUUCGACGGGGACGAUAAUGACGGUACCGUAGAAGAAGCUCCGGCUAACUUCGUGCCAGCAGCCGC